rnacentral:misc_RNA from 1 species
GGAAGGAUCAUUAACACGUUAUCCACGUAUCAACCAACGAGAACCGUUUUCAACUCUCCCCUCCCUAGAAUGGAUUGCGAGCUUGCUUAGAGUUAUUGAAUGGGAUGCUUGCGUCAGACUCUACUCGCUUCCGACUUGACGUAGAAAUACGUUGGGUUGGCAAUCGUAUCUAAUCCGGAGGACUCCCUCUCACUGUUCAGUCUCCAUUCAUUGACUCUUUCAGUGGGAACCUAUUUUUACACAUUUCACCCCCUUUUUGCUAGUUGACUUUUAUAUGUUGUAUCUUUGCUUCGGCAACGCUGCACACGUUUAAUUAUUUGAACGUUAAAAAUACAACUCUUAGCAAUGGAUAUUAACUGAAGGUAUCCGAAAUGGUUGAAAAACCAUAGCUUAACGCAACACUACCGAAUUGCCGGAACGUUUCUUAACAGAGUUACUGCUCUCAUUUUUCAAUGAGAGACCUAAGGUGAAAACCUUUUUUGGGUAUAGUAAUAACACUCUUUUACAUAGAAAUAAUCGGCAGCUAAUACCUUAACUGGUUGAAGUUCACAGACUAAGUGGUAGUGGCUCAUAUCAGAAUUAUAUGAGCUAAGAUAUAGUCGGGCCCUUUGAAGGGAUCCACUGCUUGGUUCUCGCAACGAUGAAGAACGCAGCGAAAUGCGAUACGUAAUGCGAAUUGCAGAAUUCAGUGAAUCAUCAAAUCUUUGAACGCAAAUUGCGCUCUUGGGUAGCCCUAGGAGCACACCUCUCUCAGUAUCGGUUCAAACAACUCUCAGCAGCGUGUUGAAAUUUAUUUCACUGCGUGUUGGCUGGAUAAUGAGAGUCUGAGUGCUUGCACGCAGUCUCUUUAAGUACAUGGAAUAAAUAAAAACUAGCGAUCAAUUCUGCAUUUGCAGAUAGUCAAUUCUUGACUGUUGUUCGAUAGUGACGUGAAUAUUGGCCUUCGUGGUCUUCUUUUUACGUGUAUCUAUUGAAUGAUAAUUAAGUUGGGAACUGAUGAACGUUUGUAUAGGUUAUUUAUGUGAGAAAGCCAUAUGAUUUGUAGUCUAGUUAAUUUUAGCUAUGAGUCUGAAUUUUGAUCUGAGAUGAAGUGAGACAACCCCCUGAAUUUAAGCAUAUUAAUAAGGGGAGGAAAAGAAACUAACAAGGAUUCCCCCAGUAACGGCGAGUGAAGCGGGAAGAGCUCAAUUUGAAAAUCGAUUUCCUAGACAGGACAUCGAGUUGUAUCCUAUAGACGUACUAUCAGCUGAAACCUGGGUAUAAGUUCUUUGGAAUGAGACGCGAUUCAGGGUGAGAGCCCCGUUUACGAUCCAAAGUUUUCAGCGUACGAUGUAUGUUCAUCGAGUCGAGUUGUUUGGGAUUGCAGCUCUAAAUGGGUGGUAAGUUUCAUCUAAAGCUAAAUAAUGGCGAGAGACCGAUAGCGAACAAGUACCGUGAGGGAAAGAUGAAAAGAACUUUGAAAAGAGAGUUAGAAGUACUUGAAAUUGCUAAGAGGGAAGCGCUAGAAACCAGUGAUACGCUGAGUCAAUCGCUUUCGGCCCCCCUAGACUGCGUAUGCAAUGGGUAACCUUGCGUGCGUAUUCGAAAAGGUGGUUGUGAGUUUAUGAUUUAGUGUCAGUCAAGAUCAAUUCGGAUUGUGGGAGAAGGUAGUGAGAAAGGUAGGAGGGCAACCUCUGUUAUAUUCUUAUUACUCUACCUCGGCCUGGAUUGAGGAAGUAAUGGUGCGCCGCUUGCGGCUUGGUCCUGCGUUCCUAUAGUCUCAUUUGCUCUGAUAGCAAUGCUAUCUUGGUAGAGAAGGGCUGUACUGGGCGUAGUGAUUCGAUGUGCCAUCACGAUCUUGUACGAAAUGGUUUCUAUCGACCCGUCUUGAAACACGGACCAAGGAGUCUAACAUCUAUGCAAGUAUUUGGGUGCAAAACCCUGAUGCGUAAUGAAAGUAAAGGCAGUCUUGUACUGCUGAGGUAGGAAUCCUGCAAGGGAGGCACUAUCGACCGAUCAUCACUUGUGAAAGAUUUGAGUAAGAGCAUAUCUGUUGGGACCCGAAAGAUGGUGAUCUAUGCCUGAACAGGGUGAAAUGCUUCGCUCUGAACGGAUCCAAAUUGAGAUCCAGUUAUCAUACAAUAACAACACACAUCUAUUGCAGGAACGAAUCCAAAACGAAUAAGUCAUCAAGUAUCGAGUCUAAUCGAUAUGGCGCAUCCUCAUGGGAUGCGGUAUGAUAAUAGUGCUUAUUUCUAUGGUUCAAACCCGCAGCGAAGGAUUGAAUUAAUUAUUUCAGUCUGAAGUUCAGAGACUAAAUAUGCGUGGUGUGAGAUUAAAACACUCACAUUAAGAUAUAGUCCGGCUAAUGUUUUAUUUCUAAAGCAUUCGUCGGAAGCCAGGGGAAACUCUGGUGGAGGCUCGUAGCGAUACUGACGUGCAAAUCGUUCGUCUGAUUUGGGUAUAGGGGCGAAAGACUAAUCGAACCAUCUAGUAGCUGGUUCCCUC